CCGAAGCAGCCCCUUUCUCAGGCUUUCUGUCACCAGUCUGUCUGUGUUAGGGGAGAGGGGAGUCUGCUCUGUCCUGAAGGCCCAGAGAUGGAAGGACAAGUGGUAGGCCGGGUGUUCAGGCUCUUCCAACGCCGACUGCUUCAACUCCGAGCAGGACCACCCCAGGACAAUUCAGGGGAAGCUUUAAAGGAACCAGAAAGGGCCCAGGAGCACUCUUUGCCCAACUUUGCUGGGGGGCAGCACUUCUUUGAAUACCUUCUUGUGGUUUCUCUCAAAAAGAAGCGUUCAGAGGAUGAUUACGAGCCUAUAAUCACCUACCAAUUUCCCAAGCGGGAGAACCUGCUUCGGGGUCAGCAGGAGGAGGAGGAGCGGCUGCUCAAAGCUAUCCCCUUGUUCUGCUUCCCAGAUGGGAAUGAGUGGGCAUCACUCACCGAGUAUCCCAGGGAGACCUUCUCCUUCGUUCUGACCAAUGUGGAUGGGAGCAGAAAGAUUGGAUACUGCAGGCGCCUCUUGGUCUGUGCAGCUCAGAACUGCCCCUUCCUUUCUGCAGUCUGCUCAGCUCCACGGCUGGGCUUGCUCAAGCCUGAGCUGCAAAACUCCAGGCUUAUUGGCAGCACUGGUUGUAGAAAAAGCACAGCCCAGGACCUGCUGCCAUGCUAGUGCUCCCUCUGCAGCCCCACAAGCACAAGGACCUGAUGCCCCUUCUCCCCCUGCUGGUCAGGCUCUGGUCUGUGCUCUCUCCGGCUUUCAAUACAACGAACUCCUCUCCCUGCCUGCUCUAUCCAGGCCUGCUUACCUUGGCCCCUGGAGCCUCCCAGAGCAGAGGCUGGGACUUGGACAAUUAGUUUCAAAUCUUAGGUCUCAGGAGGAUUCCCCAAGUCACCUUUACAGUGCUUUCCUCCUUAGCCAUUUCUUCAUCUCUAAGGCACACUUGCUACCCCUCUUUGCUGACCCCAGAUUGUGCUGGCACUGAAGGUGGCAGCGCUUGCCCACCAACUCACCCAGUACCCUCAAGGAUUUCUUCUUUUGAUGCUGGUGGCCAUUCUGACCUCCCUGCUGCACCCACCAUUCCCCAUAAAUCCCCCUCCCCAGCCCUCAGCCUUGUGCUCCUUCAUACCCAGUUGGCAGAAGCCCUUGGGGAGGCUGCAGCACUGAAGGAGCCUCUCUGUCCCUCCCCAGCCUGCCGGCCCUGGCCCUCGCCUUCCCAAAGUGUACUGCAUCAUCAGCUGCAUCGGCUGCUUCGGCUUGUUCUCCAAGGUAGGGAUAGAACAGGAUUCCUCAGGGCCUGUUUGUCCUGCCCAUAUUCCAGGCUGUCUCUGGCUGCCAACCCUGCCUGUGCAACUAAGCUCUUAGUGGAGCUCUUCUCCCAUAGCCAGAGUCAGCAUUAAAGCACACUUGGGAAAACUGAGGCAAAGGGGCAUGCACUUGACUUAAGGGAAAAGUGGAAAUUGAAUCUAGGGGACUGGACCUCUUGCAGAGACAGCUACUGUUCCCACUCUAGCCAAGUAAGAAAGUAGUUGAAGUAGGACAAGCAGAAGAAACUUCUGCCCUGAGUUUCAAUUUCCUCAUCCAUCGAAUGGAUAUAAUAAUCUCACCUUCCUAUCUCACUGGGUGGCGUGAGGCUUAAAUGAGGUGAUAUAUGAGAAGACUCUUUAUAAAAGGCAGAGCACUAAACAAAUGUGAAGGAGUUAUAAGACCCAUUCUGACUCCUUCAAGGGUAGAAGAACAGUUGAGGUCCCCAGGACUUCUCUUGGAGCUAAUUUGAGUGCCAGUGCAUCUGAGACAGAAUUUGAGCAGAAUCCAUGGGGCCCAUGCCAUCCACUGGUGACCAGAAAGGACUUCAUUAUGCUCUGACCCCAGCAGGACCUUUGGAGGAGGAGGGGAGGAAACUCUGUCAGCUUUUGCUUGGGCAGAGCAUUCCUUUGUGCAGUGCUCCUAGGGAUGGAGGCAGUCUCUGACCUCGGGAAUCUACAGUGGGAGUUGGAGGACAGAGUGGUACCAAGAGGCUUAGGCUUCUAGCCUCCUGCUCCAACCAGCAUGAGUGGACAUGGUACCAUCAUGGGUGAUGAGUUUACUCCGGGAUGACUUCCCAGGGAGGUGCUUUUAUGUUGGUGUUAGGAGAGGGGAAGAAUAUGGAUUUGUAGAGAGAUAAUAAAAAGGAAGCUGGAAAAAGGCAGGUCUUAUGUGGGAGAUAAACUGCAGAUUAUUUAGCAUGAGCCCAGCCUCUGCCAGGGAGGGAGAGGACCAGUUCGUGGAGGGCCCUAGAAGAUACAUGAGGAUCAGCUGAACCAGUAUGAGAACAUUAUGACGCUCAGGGGUAAGUAGAGUCUCUUCCACCUGCCUGGUAUUGUCCCUUUGAGCCGUGCCUCCCGUGGUUCUUUUCCCUGCAGAUCCUGGAUGAAGUGGAGAAGAGACAUCAGAUCUCCAUGGCUGUCAUCUACCCGUUCAUGCAGGGCCUCCGAGAGGCAGCCUUCCCUGCUCCUGGGAAGACUGUCACUCUCAAGAGCUUCAUCCCCGACUCAGGCACUGAGGUUAAAGUACAGAGAAACUGAGCCAGAUGGGGACUGGGACUUGGUUAGAAUGGACAAAGCUGAAAUCAAACCCAGAUUUUCUGAUCCUUCUAACUUGAUACCCACAAGCACCUAGUUACUGCUCAAGCCACCAAGACUUUUAUUUAUAAUAAAUAAAACAUGUAAGUUGAGGCUUCUGGUGCUAUAAAGGACUUUUCCCUCAGCCCUCAGACUGCCACUUGCCCCUACACCCCUUCCACUCUCCUUUGUUUGUCCUGUCUCUACCUUACAGCGUCCAUCUGUCCAUUUCUUAUCAUCCAUCCCCACCUCCGAGUCUCCACCCAUGCACAGGGGAAUGCUAUUGUUUUAAGGCACCAAGCACACUGAGGCAGCAGGUAGAACACUGUUCUAAGAAUUCCAGUCCUGACCUCUGGAACUCUGAAUAGUCUGUGUGCCCCUUUGAACCUUGGCUUCCCCACAGGAAAAUAAGGGGAGAGGCUAGAAAUUUUCACUUUCUCAAAAAAUAAGUGCUUAAUGCUGGCUGUGUGCCAAGCUAUACUAUUUUCUGGGAAUACAGUGGUGACCAAAAUGAAUGUGGUCCCUGACCUUUUGGAGCUGUGAGUCCAGUGGGGAGAAUAGAUGUUAAAUAAACACACCAGUGCAUGUUGAAUUAGAAAUUAUGUAACUGUGAUGAAAGAAAAAAAAACAAAA
rnacentral:sRNA from 1 species